rnacentral:lncRNA from 1 species
GAUUUGUGUUCUGGUUUAUGUUUUCAUUCUGUAUAAGAAAAAUCAGUAACUAAAAUAUAGUUGUGAUCACGAUUUAAAUAUGGUAUAAUAUGCAUGUCCGUGAAUUGUAAACGAUAACAUAAAAGCGUUAAUAUGAAAUCUGAAUCUAAAAAGUGUUCUUCGAAAAAUGCUUCGCUACAUAAACUUGGUCGGUUCGUACAAAAUAGUCUUGACAAAUUGAAUAAGUUAUAAAUGGAAAUAUGUCUAGCGAACACAAGAAAAAUCUAUUGGAAAGGUGAGAGCUAGCGAUAAAAAAGAAUGUGAAAGGGAAACGAAAGCAUGUUUUA